UUUACCACUGUUUGUGAAAAA
rnacentral:piRNA from 1 species